GGUUGUUUAAUGGACUUUCAUGGUUUAACAGUCUUUGUGUGUUUUCUAUCCUGAACCUCUUGAAUCAAUUGCUUGGAUGUUUAUUUCUAUGUUUGAAUGUUUAUGCUGUGUUUCCCUGGCCAUCUAGUCAAUCUUAAAGUGAUGGUUCAAAUCCACUGUUUAGGCUGGGCACAGCAAUUGCACCAGUUCCUUCCCAUAGUAUAAUAGGGAAACACUAGCUAAGUUGCUGUGCUGCUUAUUGUUUUGUCAGAUGUGAAAUAAUAAGAGAAAGGUCAUGUCAAUGGCUUUUCCAGAUGUUAGUGUAUGUUCACUAAGCAGUUAAUUUUCCAUCACUUGGCGAACGUUUCAUCUUGUUCCCAAAGGAUUGUGUAAGGGAGAGCCAGUCACGUACUGGACCAGCGACGAUUAGUGAGGGGGAGGAGAAAAAGGAGCCGUCGGCUGAGAAGCCCAAAACCUCUUCCUCCACCUCCUCAUCUGGCUUCUCCCUGGGCAGGCCCCAGGCCCAGCCCACUGCUGGGAGAAUCUCUGGUGUGGAAUCUCUGGUGUUAAUAAUAGUCCUGUGUUCUGAUGACUUGGGAAUCCCAAGUGAAAGAAAAAAUAUUAUAUUUAUUGAUUGACUAGUGCGCUGAGCCAUACGGUACCAGACAUGUCCAUCCACGGCGGCCUGUCCUCGGUGCACUGCUCACUGGACCUGGAGCGCUACCAGCUGAUCCGUGGCCUGCUGGACAACAACCUGGGAGAGCCAAUUGAGGAAUUAAUUUGCUCGUACAACCUACAGGACCCCAGUAACUAUGUGAGUAAACACACACUCUACACUGUGGCCGACUGUCAAUUAAAGACUAUUAAUUGACUAACAAUGUUGAGAGGGAUUCUUCCGAGUGACUCCAUGUGUCCCCAGACAGUGUUGAGUGGUGACGUGUACACCAGCCUGUCCAUCCUGGCGGAUAUGAUGAACAUCAGUCUGGAGUUGCUGGACAGCCCCAAGGCCACUGGACAGAAACCAUGCUCACUAGCCAGGUUUGAUUUCAUAAAGUCCAAGCUGCUGUUUGAGAGUUUCUCUUAACGGUUCCAAGUCUGUGAAUCCGGUGUCUCACUCCAUCUUGGCAUAUGACACCCGUUACGCCUGGCCGGGCAUGGAUGCGGGCAGCAGUGCCAGGGUCAUGCACAAUGUUUUCGACUGCAUCCUGCAGCCCAGAUGGGUGUCAAUCGGGCCACCCUCCAGCUGGAGCUGCAUUACAGGUAUGUGACAUGUCUGCAGAUAACAUUUUUCUGUGGUAACAUGUAUAAAGAAAAUAACAGCGGUCCAAGCAUAGAGCCUCGUGAAACGCCAAAUUCAAAAUCUGUACCUGUAUUGGCAAAUGGGUCUUUCUAUAAAUUAGGGUACCCGUGAGGAUUUCCUAUACUGGAGAACUUGUUACAAUUAUUGAAAAGUCAUUGAUAGUAAUCUGCCACUUUUUUUAUGUCAUUAUAUUAAGACAUAAGGGGGAACAUAGCGAUAUUCAAUACAAUUCAAGAGUUGAUUUAAAACUAUGUUUAACCGUUUCUCAUGAUUGGUGUUUUGACGGACUAGUCCACAAUCGUGUGACAUAAAAACAAUACUUUUCUGUCCUUGCAUGUGUAAGUUGUCAUCAUGUCAUAUACAGUGAAGUCAGAAGUUUACAUACACA
rnacentral:lncRNA from 13 species